rnacentral:lncRNA from 1 species
GGAGGGCAAGUUUUUUUAAUCAGAAUACCGAAAGCAUAUUACAAAUGUUAAUAAUUUGAAUUACAACUUUAAGAAUUCAGGAACCAUGUUUUAGUUUUAUUGUGUGUUCAAUGUUUGACAACAUGUGUCAUUCCAAAAUAGCAAUAUAAUUAAGUUAAUCAUGCCGCAUACACCAUAUGGUAAUUGAUCAACUCAAUAGCUGCAAAC